rnacentral:rRNA from 1 species
UACGGGGGGUGCGAGCGUUGUCCGGAUUCACUGGGCGUAAAGGGCGCGUAGGCGGCCGGAUCAGUCGGGUUUUUAAGCGCGGGGCUCACCCCCGUUGAUGGGCCCGGGACGGUCCGGCUGGGGCGCGGUCGAGGGAUGCGGAAUGCCGGGUGUAGUGGUGAAAUGCGUAGAGAUCCGGCGGAACACCGGUGGCGAAGGCGGCGAUCUGGGAAGAUACUGACGCUGAGGUGCGAAAGCGUGGGGAGCAAACAGG